UUAAGAAGCAGCCAUUGGAGAAAUGGAUCUGUUCCUUGUUUGUGUUUGAACCAAGACCUAUACUUUGUGCUGAAAAGCAUUUCAUCGAAGAAGGACUUGCCAUGAAUAGAUGCAGCAAUGACAGUAUGAGUUGCAGCAAGAUGGAAGCCAUAGCAUUCGGUGUGAAAAUCACACGUACCCUUUGUAUCAUGGUACUUUUAUCAGCUGGUGGGAGGAACACUUCUUUGACCUAUGAAGCUGAUCUAUGAACUGUGUCAAAAAACUCAAAAUCAUUCGACUGAGGAUAUCCAAUUGUCCGCUCAGGACCUUGGAGGAAAAGUUUGCGAAGGCCAAGUCUUCACUUCUUACGGAUCUUGUGAGGAACUCAGUUUUGCGUGUGUACCAUGAGACUGAAAGAAUACAAUUAGGACAAUGGGAGAAAAUAACUAUGUUGAGUAAAUCCAUCUGAAAAUAGAAAUGGACAUUAGAAAAAAUAUUCCUAGGAAAAAAAGGCUCAAAUUCAUAAGAGAUGCAGUUUACCCAUCUAGGAAGGCAAAAGUAGAUGAGAGAACAGGAUGAACUUAUACAGCUUUGAUAUUCGCCAAGAGAUUGACGGUUUACACAAAAAGCAAAAGCUCGAUGGAGGCCUGCAGAAACAAUGAGCCUUGUUGCUUGUAGACACCACAGAUGUGAGAGAAAGCUGACUAAAAACAAUUGGCUGACACUGUCUAAUUGUCUCCGAUGUCAGCGACAUUAAUGUUUUCCCAUGUAAAAUGGAGAAGGCCAAGGUUGUAUCCUCCCUUUAUUUUGAGUCACAUGAUUAUGUAACUUACUGAGAUUCAGAUUGUGUUAAUUGUAUUUGUGCAAUAAAGAAACCGAAGCUACCUUGAAUUUAA